AUGAAAAUGGACAAACAAAAGGGUGUGCAAUGUGUAGGCCCACUGAGUGUAUAUUCUGAACCUUGUUUGAAGUCAGUAGGUCACAUGACCAAGGAGCUGUUAAAAGUUGGAAAAAUUCAUGUAAAAACAUGUGAGAUGAAAAUGGACAAACAAAAGGGUGUUUAAUGUAUAGGCCCAAUGAGUGUACAUUCUGAACCUUGUUUGAAGUCAGUAGAUCCCAUGAUCAAGGAGCGAUUGAAAUUCAAAUGUAAAACAAGUUUGUACUUUGUUUAUGCUCCCUAACUAUUUCAACUAGGAAUACAAAAGGCUGCUCUCAUUUCCACAUGUUUAUUAGCUUUGUAAAGCAAAUUAAUAUCCCAAUCGUGAAAAUGAGACGUGCAAUUUCUCCAACAUCAUGACACUUAUUUGGAGUCUGUGGCUCAAGUGUUUUGAAAGCUAUUGAGGUUUGAAAGCGCGAAUAUCUGUUGAAUAUCCAACCUGAAACUGUCUUUACCUUGGUCGAAGAUUGUUGUUAAUAAAGUAGUGAAUUGGGGGCAUAAACAGUGUGCGGGCCUUCCUUACCCCAGCACCUAAGUUAAGGAUGUGCGUAUGACCACAAACUUUUCUAUAAAUACACACUUAACAUCUAAAGUCUUUAAUGCACACAAUAUUAUGACACUUACACUGUCAACAAGAACAUAGACUCCCAGUAGGUUAGUUGGGAUGCAAAGUAAAGGUGUACAGACAAAAUUACAAACUGUUGAACAGCUUUUCUACUGGUGGUCUACUAAUCUACUGUACACCGACGGUUAAACAAGCUGAAAUGUCAGCUGUGCCCAAAAUAGAAAGAUAUCCCAUGUGUUCCAGUUAACCUAGUCAUUUAUGAAAACGACCGCUGACCCACAUUGAGGCAACAAAUAUAAAAAAUCUUAUGAGAUUAAAAUAUUCCCUCUUCUAAACUAACAUAUAUUGUUAAAAUCAACAUUAAUCAAAGUAUUAACUCAUUUGAUUCCUAAGAUUUGGAACCAGAAGUAUACUCCCCUUUUUUUUUACACUGCCAUUCAGCAAGAUGAUCUCUCAUGCUUAAGAGAUGUGUUAAAUCUUUCCACAAAAAAAUAUUCAAAAUGUAAAUACAAAAUAUAACCUACUACUCACAUUUUAGCAGCUGAUAACCGUCCCUCCUUCUGAGUCUGUCCACCAAUCUGUCUGUUCCAUGCCCCGUUCACUUGCAGCAGGCUGUACUCUGUUUGUUGGCUCUUGUCACUAUCAGAGUUUUCAUGUGAUUGCAUGACCUGAGUAUUUACUGAGUGGGAUACAGUUGGUUCUGUCAUUUUGGAAGGAUAUGCAGUGCGUCCCAAUUCUCUACCUUUCUCCUGUAGUGUGCACUCGGUCAC
rnacentral:lncRNA from 1 species